rnacentral:rRNA from 1 species
UACGAAGGGGGCUAGCGUUGCUCGGAAUUACUGGGCGUAAAGGGCGUGUAGGCGGAUAUUUAAGUUAGAGGUGAAAGCCCAGGGCUCAACCCUGGAAUAGCCUUUAAUACUGGAUAUCUUGAGUUCGGGAGAGGUGAGUGGAACUCCGAGUGUAGAGGUGAAAUUCGUAGAUAUUCGGAAGAACACCAGUGGCGAAGGCGACUCACUGGCCCGAUACUGACGCUGAGGCGCGAAAAGCGUGGGGGAGCAAAACAGG